rnacentral:lncRNA from 1 species
UCCAAUCGGGUGAGUUGUACCCCUCUCCAUUGCAGCUGCAACAGCAAGUGCUUCUUUCUCACAGCUGGGGACACAACAAGAAGCAAUUCUUUUUCCAUGUCCAUGUAUCGGUUCAAUUGCUUUGCACAUGAACUCCCCAGUUGUUAGUGUACCAGUUUUGUCAAAUGCAAUACUAUGACAUGAAGCCAAGGUUUUCCCCAUGUCCAUGUAUCGGUUCAAUUGCUUUGCACAUGAACUCCCCAUUUGUCAGUGUACCAGUUUUAUCAAAUGCAAUACUAUGACAUGAAGCCAAGGCAUCAAGCACUUGUCCACCUUUAAGCAAUAUACCC